UAUUUGAAACAUCCAAUGAGAAUACGUAUUUAAGUCGGUAAUUGAGAGAAUUAUAUUAUCAAUUCUAUAAACGGCCGAUAGGUGUCAGGACUGAAUAUUUUCUCUAACCGACGUUUCUGCAUUCAGCCAAUCAGAGCAUUUCUUUCUUAAAGCUUUUUGGCUAUUGAAAAUUUUUCAUUGUCGUUGGCGUCUGUUCUGAUUUUUCACUAUUUUCUUGCAGAAAAGAUCCCUCCAUUGGUGGUCCAUGAACAAUUUUGCUGAAAAUCCAGCUUCGGGUAAAUGAGAAAUUUAAGUCGUUGAAACUCGGUCUCCUUGUAAGGGUUAUUUUCCAAAUUUGCAAUUGCAUAAAAAUUUGGAUUCUAACCUAGAGGAGGGAUCUCCGAGGAUAAAUGACUUGAAGAUUAUUAUCUUGCCCGGGUUGGUAGUCUUCGUUCGAGGGAAUUAAUAAAAAUUCUCCCUCCAUUGUUGAAAAUCGUAAGAUUUGAUGGACUACUACCUGUCAGAAAAUUCAACUUCCGACAGCAAAAUGAGAAAUUCAAGUUAUUAGAACUCGGUCUCCUUGAAAGGGUUAUUUUCCAAAUUAUUGGAUUCUAACCUAGAGGAGGGAUCUCCGGGGACAGAUAACUUGAAGACUAUCAUCUAGCCGGGGUUGAUCGUCUUCGUUGGAGGGAAUAAAUUAAAAUGCCACGUUCGACAAAAGAAGUCAAAUCAAAAAAAGUUUUUGUAAUUCAAUUGAUUCAAUGUUUCAAGUCAGUGCGCGUUUUUAAAUCGUUUUGAUAAGUGAAAUGUUUGUUUAGUUUUUCUGUUUGCAAAGUUUAAAAAUAUUUUCUAAAAAUAGUCAGUGUUGCGGGCACGUUACAAUUUACACAAUUGACUAGAAAUUUGUUUUGUUAAAAUUAUUAAAAAAUUUAACUUAGUCAAAAAAGUUUUUUAUUAAUUAAAAUGACGAUUAUUUAUUAUUUAUAGAAUUUUUUUUCCAUUAAUUUCUGGAAAAAACUGUAAUUUGUGACUACCCAACACUUAAAUAAUUUAAUUAUCUUUAUCGAGUCAGUGCGCGUUUAAAAAUUUGCAAAUAAAAUUCAGUGAAAGUAUUGUGAUUCAAAGUUGGAAGGAUUCCAAUCGGGCUUCAUUCAUUUUCAAUAAUGGAAUGAAGGACAGGAAGGACGGAAGGAAGGAAGGACAGAAAGUAUAGGAAUAAAAUGCAGCGUGCAGAGAUAAAGCAGAGAGCUACAACAACCCUUUUCAUUAUAUAGUCAGCAAGUAGUGAGUCCCUCCUGUCUCAAAAGUUGAUGUGGCGUAGACAGGUUGUAAUAAUUUUGAAAACUUCCUUAGUGACGGUUAAUUAAAUCGAUUAACAUUUAAUUCACAAUAUUAAAUUACAUUUAAUCUAUUUAAUUAACAGGUGGAUUUUUUUAUUUUUAUGUAUUUUUCUUAGAUCAGGAUGCAUAACUUUUCUUGGUUCGCGAAAAUAAUAAAUUUUUAAUAUUGAUGAAAAAUGCAAUUUAUUAAUUGAUUAAAUUUUUGU